GGGCGGCGUACACCCUGGUCAAGAAGCGGAAGAUCGUCCACCUCGUCGCCCAGUGGGCGGCCAUGCUCGGGCCACAGCUGCAGGAUGACCCGGCCGCUCGGAGACUCCUGGAGGAGCUGGAGGAGCUGGUCUCGAAGGACGUUCAGCUGAGCGAUGCCAUGAGUGAAGACGUUGGGGACAGGAAGAAGCACAGACACACAACAGAAAACGUGACCAACACAACCCCACUAAUGAAAGUGAG